GCCAUCAUAGCUCAGUGACAGAGAACUGGUCCUGUAAACCAGGGGUCGUGAGUUCGAUCCUCACUAGUUGCU